GACGAACGCUGGCGGCGUGCUUAACACAUGCAAGUCGAACGGAAAGGCCCUGCUUUUGUGGGGUGCUCGAGUGGCGAACGGGUGAGUAACACGUGAGUAACCUGCCCUUGACUUUGGGAUAACUUCAGGAAACUGGGGCUAAUACCGGAUAGGAGCUCCUGCUGCAUGGUGGGGGUUGGAAAGUUUCGGCGGUUGGGGGUGGACUCGCGGCGUAUCAGCUUGUUGGUGGGGUAGUGGCUUACCCAGGCUUUGACGGGUAGCCGGCCUGAGAGGGUGACCGGCCACAUUGGGACUGAGAUACGGCCCAGACUCCUACGGGAGGCAGCAGUGGGGAAUAUUGCACAAUGGGCGGAAGCCUGAUGCAGCAACGCCGCGUGCGGGAUGACGGCCUUCGGGUUGUAAACCGCUUUCGCCUGUGACGAAGCGUGAGUGACGGUAAUGGAUAAAGAAGCACCGGCUAACUACGUG
rnacentral:rRNA from 1 species